rnacentral:rRNA from 1 species
AGGAUGAACGCUGGCGGCGUGCCUAACACAUGCAAGUCGAACGUCCUGUCUCGCAAGAGGCAGGGAGUGGCGGACGGGUGAGUACCACGUGGGUCAUCUACCGUGAGGUGAGGAAUACCGGCGAGAAAUCGCCGACAAGACCGCAUAGCCUCGGUGCAAGUCGAGCAAAGCUUUCUCGAGAGAGGGAGCGCCACACGAGGAGCCUGCGCCCGAUUAGCUAGCUGGUGGAGUAACGGUUCACCAGGGCGACGAUCGGUAGCUGGUCUGAGAGGACGAUCAGCCACACUGGGAUUGAGAACGGCCCAGACUCCUACGGGGGGCAGCAGUGAGGAAUUUUCGUCAAUGGGGGCAACCCUGAACGAGCAACGCCGCGUGCAGGAAGAAGGUUUUCGGAUCGUAAACUGCUUUUCUCGGGGAAGAGAACGGACGGUACCCGAGGAAUCAGCCCCGGCUAACUACGUGCCAGCAGCCGCGGU